GGGCCUCAGUCUGAACCAUCCCAGACCGCUGGGAACGAACCAUCUGGAUGCUCUUAGGAACGUCUAUGUCACAGUCCACUCCUACAGAGACAGAAGAGGUUAGACUAGGAACGUCUAUGUCACAGUCCACUCCUACAGAGACAGAAGAGGUUAGACUAGGAACGUCUAUGUCACAGUCCACUCCUACAGAGACAGAAGAGGUUAGACUAGGAACGUCUGUCACAGUCCACUCCUACAGAGACAGAAGAGGUUAGACUAGGAACGUCUGUGUUACAGUCCACUCCUACAGAGACAGAAGAGGUUAGACUAGGAACGUCUGUCACAGUCCACUCCUACAGAGAGAAGAGGUUAGACUAGGAACGUCUGUGUCACAGUCCACUCCUACAGAGACAGAAGAGGUUAGACUAGGAACGUCUGUGUCACAGUCCACUCCUACAGAGACAGAAGAGGUUAGACUAGGAACGUCUGUGUCACAGUCCACUCCUACAGAGACAGAAGAGGUUAGACUAGGAACGUCUGUGUCACAGUCCACUCCUACAGAGACAGAAGAGGUUAGACUAGGAACGUCUGUGUCACAGUCCACUCCUACAGAGACAGAAGAGGUUAGACUAGGAACGUCUGUGUCACAGUCCACUCCUACAGAGACAGAAGAGGUUAGACUAGGAACGUCUGUGUCACAGUCCACUCCUACAGAGACAGAAGAGGUUAGACUAGGAACGUCUGUGUUACAGUCCACUCCUACAGAGACAGAAGAGGUUAGACUAGGAACGUCUGUCACAGUCCACUCCUACAGAGACAGAAGAGGUUAGACUAGGAACGUCUGUGUCACAGUCCACUCCUACAGAGACAGAAGAGGUUAGACUAGGAACGUCUGUGUCACAGUCCACUCCUACAGAGACAGAAGAGGUUAGACUAGGAACGUCUGUGUCACAGUCCACUCCUACAGAGACAGAAGAGGUUAGACUAGGAACGUCUGUGUCACAGUCCACUCCUACAGAGACAGAAGAGGUUAGACUAGGAACGUCUGUGUUACAGUCCACUCCUACAGAGAGAAGAGGUUAGACUAGGAACGUCUGUGUCACAGUUCACUCCUAUAGAGAGAAGAGGUUAGACUGUAGUCACAGAUACCCUUGGGGUCUGAACAAGGCAGAAGCUUUCUUCAUGGAAAUGAUCUCAUGUAGCAGAAAUAGAUGAAGUAUUU